rnacentral:sRNA from 12 species
AACCUAACCUGAGUAGCUACGGCAAAAGGCAUGGUUGAAAAUCCAGCGAAGAAUAUCGAUCCCGUCGGUAGGUUAUCUUCGUUGGUCAUGGUUGGAAACUUCCAUGGGACUUCGGUCC